rnacentral:rRNA from 1 species
UACGUAGGGGGCGAGCGUUGUCCGGAAUUAUUGGGCGUAAAGAGCUCGUAGGCGGUUUGUCGCGUCUGCUGUGAAAAUCCAGGGCUUAACCCUGGACCUGCAGUGGGUACGGGCAGACUAGAGUGCGGUAGGGGAGAUCGGAAUUCCUGGUGUAGCGGUGAAAUGCGCAGAUAUCAGGAGGAACACCGGUGGCGAAGGCGGGUCUCUGGACAGUUCCUGACGCUGAGGCACGAAGGUCAGGGGAGCAAACGGG